AUUGAACGCUGGCGGCAGGCUUAACACAUGCAAGUCGAGCGGUUUGAUUAGCUUGCUAAUCAGAUAGCGGCGAACGGGUGAGUAAUGCCUAGGAAUCUACCGAUUAAUGGGGAACAACGUUUCGAAAGGAACGCUAAUACCGCAUACGCCCUACGGGGGAAAGCAGGGGAUCUUCGGACCUUGCGUUAAUCGAUGAGCCUAGGUCGGAUUAGCUAGUUGGUGAGGUAAAGGCUCACCAAGGCGACGAUCUGUAGCGGGUCUGAGAGGAUGAUCCGCCACACUGGAACUGAGACACGGUCCAGACUCCUACGGGAGGCAGCAGUGAGGAAUAUUGGACAAUGGGGGCAACCCUGAUCCAGCCAUGCCGCGUGUGUGAAGAAGGCCUUUUGGUUGUAAAGCACUUUAAGCGAGGAGGAGGGUACCCCAAUUAAUACUUGGGAGUAUCGGACGUUACUCGCAGAAUAAGCACCGGCUAACUCUGUGC
rnacentral:rRNA from 1 species